AUUUGAAUCAUUUAAAAUAAAAGCGUUUAAAUUGUUGCAAUACAAUGGGGCUUUACUCAAACUUGUAGAUGUAUAUAACACGCUCAAAGCUGAGUACGAUGAAAUUGCUCAUGCUGAAGAACAGUAUUUUCUAACAUUAUAUGGAUUGAAACGCAAGUCUAUUUUGCUUAAUAAAUUUUGGUAAUAUGACUAUAUUUGCUGAGUAGCAUGAAAACCAGUUCACAAAAACCAUUGAUUUAGCUGUAUUACCUCCUUCGUUUUUCCUGUAUUACCUUUAACUGUAUUACCUCUAACAAAAUCUGGCGCAAAGCAAUCUUUAUUUCAUGUCUAACGUUAAUUACAACAAUGACGCGGUACUAUUUUGGAUUCACUGAAAAGGUAUUGCAAAGUGUUAGAUUUAAAUCUUCUACCAUUUAAACAUUCUAACGCCAGCUCUAGAAAAUUUGUUUCAUCAUUUGAUCUGUAACUACAAAACUAGAUGCAACAGGAAUCGCUAGUUUAUAAAAGGCGGUUUAAAUCGCUCAUCAAUUUGUCGAGCAUGCAAUGUAGUGGGUUGCUCAAGCCCUGCAGACGUGAAUGAUGCUGACACAUCUGAUAAAGAUAAAGAUGAUAAUAAUGACGCAAAUGUAGAUUCAGAUAUGUAGAUUGUGUAAUUCAAAUGUAGAUGUCUGUAAUUCAGAUAAAGAACCAAUAUGACCAAUAAAGAAUUAAAUAUAGUAAAGGUUGAGAUAAUAUAAUUACGAUAAUUUUGUAGCAUUUUGACAUACAUGCAGUUAAACAUUAUUCUUUAUGUGAUGUGAUAUAUUUUAAAGUUUAAGGUUUCUUUAUUAAAUAUUUGUUUAUACAA